CUCCACUUCAUGUCCCUGGGAAUUAAGUUUUGUAAUUGUGGAUUGUUAAUGUUCUUUCUCAUAUUUUUUAGAAAGGGAAAAUGAGUGGAAAACCCAUUCCUCUUCGCCAGCAGUGUGUGGCAGGAAGAUGGGAAAGUGUGCCUGCAGUGCAGAGUUUCUGUGUGACUUAGAGCCAGGAUGUCUUCUGAUACUCCAAAUGUUGCCUGUCAAGAUGAAAUCAUUCCAACCACAGUGUUUUUCAAGAUCUAGAACUUACAAGUCACAUCGCUGGACUAAUACUGCAUAUAAGAAGAAAAAAGGAUUCAGUGCUGUCCAGCAAUGAGACACUGGAUAUCACCCUUGAAGCUGC
rnacentral:lncRNA from 1 species